AAGACAUACCGCGUGAGGGAGGAGGCUCUUGGGUUGUAAACCUCUUUUCUCAGGGAAGAACAGAAUGACGGUACCUGAGGAAUAAGCAUCGGCUAACUCCGUGCCAGCAGCCGCGGUAAUACGGAGGAUGCAAGCGUUAUCCGGAAUGAUUGGGCGUAAAGGGUCCGCAGGUGGCAUUGUAAGUCUGCUGUUAAAGAGUUUGGCUCAACCAAAUAAGAGCAGUGGAAACUACAAAGCUAGAGUGUGGUCGGGGCAGAGGGAAUUCCUGGUGUAGCGGUGAAAUGCGUAGAUAUCAGGAAGAACACCAGUGGCGAAGGCGCUCUGCUAGGCCGAGACUGACACUGAGGGACGAAAGCUAGGGGAGCGAAAGGGAUUAGAUACCCCCUGUAGUCCAAA
rnacentral:rRNA from 1 species